GACGAACGCUGGCGGCGUGCUUAACACAUGCAAGUCGAGCGGUAAGGCCCCUUCGGGGGUACACGAGCGGCGAACGGGUGAGUAACACGUGAGCAAUCUGCCCAUCACUUCGGGAUAACUCCGGGAAACCAAAGCUAAUACCGAAUACGACCACCUCCGGCAUCGGAUGGUGGUGGAAAGUUCCGGCGGUGAUGGAUGGGCUCGCGGCCUAUCAGCUUGUUGGUGGGGUAACGGCCCACCAAGGCUUCGACGGGUAGCCGGCCUGAGAGGGUGACCGGCCACACUGGGACUGAGACACGGCCCAGACUCCUACGGGAGGCAGCAGUGGGGAAUAUUGCACAAUGGGCGAAAGCCUGAUGCAGCAACGCCGCGUGAGGGACGACGGCCUUCGGGUUGUAAACCUCUUUUAGCAGGGAAGAAGCGAAAGUGACGGUACCUGCAGAAAAAGCACCGGCUAACUACGUGCCAGCAGCCGCUGUAAUAC
rnacentral:rRNA from 1 species